rnacentral:rRNA from 1 species
AGCAGUAGCCGCGGGAAUACGAAGGGUGCAAGCGUUACUCGGAAUUACUGGGCGUAAAGCGUGCGUAGGUGGUGGUUUAAGUCCGUUGUGAAAGCCCUGGGCUCAACCUGGGAAUUACAGUGGAUACUGGGUCACUAGAGUGUGGUAGAGGAUAGUGGAAUUUCCGGUGUAGCAGUGAAAUGCGUAGAGAUCGGAAGGAACAUCUGUGGCGAAGGCGACUAUCUGGGCCAACACUGACACUGAGGCACGAAAGCGUGGGGAGCAAACAGGAUUAGAUACCCCCGUAGUCCCUGUCUCUUAUAC